rnacentral:lncRNA from 1 species
AAGGCGAGGCUCUGCAUCUAGAUUUACCUCGUUCUCUUUUGUCUCCGCUUUUUUUUCACAUUUCCUUGCGACCCUGGCCCUUGAGCGACAAAAAGGGGAAGCCAAGGCUGGCCCGAGGAACGGAGAGGGCACAUGGCCUAGCCACAAGUGGAGCUUCUGCUCCGCCCGAAGGGAUGCGCUGGAGCGGCCUCUUCCUUCUGCCACGGUCUUUCUUUGCCAACUAGUAGAUUUGGACAUUUACAGUGUUCAGCCGUUGUUGUGGCAUUCCAAUUCAAUUGGGAAACAGCUUGAUGUAGCGUCCCCAUAAGGUCCACAGUAAUUAAAUUUUUUUUUUUUUUUUUUGGUGCGGUAGUGCAAUUUCAUGGCUCACUGCAACCUCCACCUCCCAGGUUCAAGCGAUCCUCCCAUCUCAGCCUCCCUAGUAGCUGGGAUUACAGGUGCACGCCACCACACCAGGCUAAUUUUUGUAUUUUUAGUAGAGAUGGGGUUUCACCAGGUUAGCCAGGCUGGUCUUGAACUCCAGACCUCAAGGGAUCCGCCUGCCUCAGCUUUCCAAAGUGCUGGGAUUACAGGUGGAGACUGGACCUCAGAAGAGGGAGUGGGUGCCCCGAGAACUCACAGCUAGCGGACAGUGGAAAGGGCAGGAGCCGGACCAAGGUGAGGACAGUGGAACUGAAGGCCGCUGGUUACCUCUCCUGCCCUCCGCUGGCCACAGUGGAGAAGACAGCCCCUCCCUCCUGCUCUGACCUGACAGUGUUCAUCCAUCGCCCUGUAUUAGCGAAGAACAACAUCAAGCUGGCUAGCAAGGAACUGUAUACAGGGUCCAGCUGGGUAUCACACUGGAUCUCACCCAAAGCUUAGAUGUGAUCCAGCUCAGUAUCACAAAGCAGAACGAAAAGGAUGUGUUUGGGCUGAGAGG